rnacentral:rRNA from 1 species
CCUGGGCCCUCCUCGACAGCAGAGCCUACUUCGCCGACCGCGUCAACGCCACCACCGCGAAGGCCACGGCGAGCACGGGCCAUGAUUUCAAGGUCACCUUUUGUCUCGCCGACCCGCCCGCCGUCUCCUACUUGUGCGUCCACUGCCCCGAAGCUUGUUACGCCACGGAGCCCCGCGUCGUCUCCUCCGCUAGUGACCUCGUCCUCCUCUGCUUCGCCUUCAGCUCCGACCCAUGGAGCACAGAAAAAGACUCCCAUCUCGAGUACUUCGUCUACAAGGCUGCCUCCGGCGGCAAGCCCACCAUCCGAUCUGUUCCGUGUCCCCCUCGAGCCUACGUGCACUCAUGGCACGCCGCCAUCGUGCCCGGCAAGGCCGACGAUUUCUUGGUCGCUGAUCUUUCCCCGAAUGGGGACCCUGGGCGCUACAACCUGCACAUCUUCUCGUCGGAGACAAACGAGUGGAGCACCAAGCACGUGCAGCUGCAGACCCACCCGGAUGUCCUGCCACUGGAGCUGCCAAUUCUAACUGACAAGGUGAUCUUGCUCGGAAGGAGCACGGUAGGAUGGGUCGACCUCUGGUGCGGCAUUGUCGUCUGCAAUUUGCUUUAA